rnacentral:lncRNA from 1 species
GAGGAAACGGUUGUGUCAGCGGAAGUUGCGGCGGAGAGGGUGAGUUUGUUGCGGCGGGGAGUGGAUGUUGUUGGGAAGAAGAGAGUGGUUGAAUUUGGUUGAAGUGAAAAUGGAGAAAGAGAGUGAGAAUGGGAGAAUUUGAAGGUAUGAAUUGGAGUUAGUGUGGCGGCCAUAGCUAGAAAUGCAGAGAAGCAAAUUGAAAUGAAAUAUCAGUGAGUUGGUGUGGAAGUUUUUAGUGUAUUUUUCAGUGGCUUGUUCUUGGCACCUAAAUUUUUUACCUCCUCUGUUGCUUUCUAAACUUUAAUUUUUAAUAUGGAAACCAAACUGAGAUUCGUCGUACUUAGUAUUUUUUAACAUAAAAGUGGUUGAUUAAUUUUUUGGAGAAUAUCUUUCUUAUUUUGUUUCUAGAAUUUCUAUGUUACAUUAAAUUCAAUGUAUCGGCACAUUUAAUCUUAAAAUUAAUAACUAAAUAGUUUUUAAAUUUAAUGUAUCCGCAUAUUUAAAUCUUUAAAUUAAUAAUUGAAUACUAUUUCAUAUUUUUUUUAAAUUAUAAUAGCUAAAUAUUAUUUAUUAAAAGUGUCAAUGAAACAUAUAUAUUUUAAUUUUUUUUGAAUUUUAUUAUUUAUUAUAGUGAAUAUUAAAUAUUUUUUUGAUAAAAUGUAAAAAAUUAGUAUUAUUUAUUUACUUUGGUAUGUAGAAGGGAUAAAAAAAAAACUAGUAUAAUGUGUAUAAAUAAUACAAUGAUGUUUUUUUCUUAUAAAAGAUUAAUUCCUAAAAUACAAAAGUCAAUAAAUAAUUAUUUAAUUCAUAAAAUUGGCCAUUAAAGUUGUAGUUUAAAAAAUAAUGUAUCAAAAAAUUUCAAUUUGUGAAUGUACCAUAGAAGUUUUUUUAUAAUGUUUUUUAGCUGAACAACUCUCGCUAAUUAUAAAUUAUCAUUGUAUUUUUCUCAUAUAUUAAAAAAAUUAAUUAAUAAUUUUAAUGGGUCAAUUUAACAUAUAGAUAUUAUUAGAAUAUUAUUUAUACAUUGAUGCUUUAAUUUUACUUUUCAUUUUUUAAAAUAAAUUAGAAGUAUAAGUAAAUGAUAUAUUUGGAAAAAAAAAUGCACUUAAUUUGACUUUUUUUUUCCAGCAUUAUAGAAAUAGUCAACAACAAAGAUUUAUAAAUCAAUAUUUUUCAUCCAAAAUAUUUUAUUCAAAUGUUUUAUUCCAUAGUUUAAACAUGAAAAAAUAUUUAAACUUUAUCAUAACAUGUUUUUGUGUAAAAUAUUAGUCUUAGUGUAAUAUAUUUUAACUCAUACUUUAUUUUAUUUUUAAGACAGAGCCAACCCAAAACACUGUGAAAGAUUAAUGCAAAUUUAAAAUAUGAGGUGUUUCAGAGUCUAUAAUAGUAUUUUACAAAACAUAUUAAAUUUUUUAUGAAAAUUAUUUUUCUGACAUCAAGUUUAUUAAAUUUUAAAAUAUGAGACUUUUUUUAUUAACUAUAACAAAAUUUUGAAGGCUUUUUUAUCAAAUAAAUAUUUAUUUAUUUUUAAAAAUAUAAAACAGUUGUAUAAAACAAGCUAUGUCAUUUUAAGAUGUCCCCUGUUUUACAAAACACCAAUUCGGUCAUCCCAUGUUACAAUGUCCCUGUUUUACAAAACACCAAUUCGGUCAUCCCAUGUUACAAUUUGCUUACCAAUUUGGUCAGAAAACAUUUUAUGUGGUUUUCCCAUGUUAACUUCUUUACCAAUUCGCCAUUUUAAGAUGUCCACUGUUUUACCAAACCAAUUCAGUCAGAAAACAUUUUAUGUGGUUUUUCCAUGUUACAAUUUCCUUACCAAUUUGGUCAGAAAACAUUUUAGACAUAAUAUUGGCUCACCUGUGUUUUUUUUUUUUUUUUCCCACUUAAACUCUAAUUUCCACAUGCUGUUAUGGAGGUAUCAUCCUCCAUGUCCUAAUCCUGUCACUGCUGCACUGCUAAGUUCCUGGAACUUCUCUCCACUGUCCUCUCUUUUUGUUAUAUUCUUCCUGCCUGCGUUGCACCGAUGCUGCUCAUUGGAUCCUUGUCCAACACAUGACUGUUUGGAGCUUCUUUCUCUACUUAACCUAUUACAUGUUUUCUCUCAUCUAAUGGUGUUGGACAAAUUCUAUCUGCUACCACUUAAUUCAUCCCGUGCUGUGCCAAAUACUAACUCAUUCAUAAUGUUAUGUUCUUCCGAGUGAUUCCUAUGCGUGCAGUAUCCCCAAAUUGAUCAACCUCAGGCAAACACUGUCACCGUCACAUGUAAUCACUAGGUUUUGGGAGUUUUCACAGUCCACAUACUUCAUUACCUCUCUAUCUCCUGACGUACCCCAGUGCUGUUCAGUGAUUUUUCUUGUUUGCGCAGACCUGUUUGACUCACUCUCAGUCUCGGGCAAUCAAUCAGUGCUAAACCACAGUCUCAACAAUCUUGUAGCCUAGCAGAUCAUCGGUAGGAUUCAUCUAGCAAUCUGAUUAUAUGUUCAAGUAAACCCACUGUUGCUAUCCUUUCCGAAGGAUGGAAGGCAAAAUGCGUAGAUAGGUGAAAAAAUCAUAAUGCAUUCAUCAUCUUUAAUAAUCCUUUACUUGUCUAUGUUCAAGUUGUGGAACUCAAGUUUCCCAAGUUUUAGAGUUCGCCACCCUGAUGUCCAAUUGGAUGAUAGAGAACAUGUUAUUGCAAGGAGAUCUUGUGAUAAUAAGACAUGCAAGCCUGGAACACGAGACAUUUGUGAGUUGUGAGUUGGAUGAUAUAUUUGGAAAAAAAAAAUGCACUUAAUUUGACUUUUUUUUUUCCAGCAUUAUAGAAAUAGUCACGAACAAAGAUUUAUAAAUCAAUAUUUUUCAUCCAAAGUUUAAACAUGAAAAAAUAUUUUAAACUUUAUUAUAUCUAAAAUAUGAAAAAAUAUCCAAAGUUUAUUCCAUAGUUUAAACAUGAAAUAUAUUUAAACUUUAUUAUAACAUGUUUUUGUGUAAAAUAUUAGUCUUAGUGUAAUAUAUUUUAACUCAUACUUUAUUUUAUUUUUAAGACAGAGCCAACCCAAAACACUGUGAAAGAUUAAUGCAAAUUUAAAAUAUGAGGUGUUUCAGAGUCUAUAACAGUAUUUUACAAAACAUAUUAAAUUUUUUAUGAAAAUUAUUUUUCUGACAUCAAGUUUAUUAAAUUUUAAAAUAUGAGACUUUUUUAUUAACUACAACAAAAUUUUGAAGGCUUUUUUAUCAAAUAAAAAUUUAUUUAUUUUUAAAAAUAUAAAACGGUUGUAUAAAACAAGCUGUGUCAUUUCAAAUAAAGAAAUAAAAGGAACAAAAUAUACAAAAUAUGAAACCAUUGCUAGUAAUUUUAAGAUGUCCCCUGUUUUGUAUAGAAAACAGGCUUUUGUAAAUAAGUUGUGUUUUCUGUGGUUUUCCCAUGUUACAACUUCCGUACCAAUUCGGUCAGAAAGCAAGCUUUUGUAUAGAAAACAACAAGUUGUGCCAUUUCAAAUAAAGAAAUGAAAGGAACAAAAUAUACAAAAUAUGAAACUAUUGCUAGUAAUUUUAAGAUGUCCCCUGUUUUGUAUAGAAAACACCCAUUUCAAAUAAAGAAAUGAAAUGAACAAAAUAUACAAAAUAUGAAACCAUUGCUAGUAAUUUUAAGAUGUCCCCUGUUUUGUAUAGAAAACAAGCUCUGCCAUUUCAAAUAAAGAAAUGAAAGGAACAAAAUAUACAAAAUAUGAAACCAUUGUUAGUAAUUUUAAGAUGUCUUUUAUAACUUUUUUGGCAAGACAGCAAGAUAAAUCAAUAAUUAAAGAAGAUUAAUUUUUAAUAUAUUAUAUCAACUAUUGAUUUAAUAUUAAUGAUUAAUAUGAUUCACUUUAUUAUCUAAAACGAAUUAUGUUUACUUAGACACAUUAUAACCUAUUUAGCAGGUUGCGAAAAAGGUAGUCUGUAAUUUUAAUGGACAAAUUUUUAUGAAAACGAAGGAAAGAAGACUGUAGAUUUUUUCUACACCGUGAAAAUAUUGUUUUUAUCUUUUAAAAUAUGUAUUGAUUUUAAUUUGUUUAUAAGAUGUAAUACUCUUUUAGACAAAAAAAAAAUGUGAUACUAUAAAAAGCGAAUUUUUGUGAUAGGAAGAUAGAUAAAAUAACAAUUAUAGAUGGUGCAUUUUUUGAAAACAUAAAGCAAAUUUUGUAAUAUUUGUAUAUUUUAAAAAAUAUGGAUAAUUAUUUAGUAUAAAAAUUUAUUACAAUAAAUUAUUUGCUAACAUAAUAGACAGACCUUAUUUCUAAAAAAGUUUUUCAUUAUUCAACCCACUUUAUAUAAAUGUAUUCAAAAUAUAAAUCAUUCUAUAUAACUAAAAUUAAUUUUUGUCCUUUGACCUAUUAAAGAAAGAAUAAAAAAAAAGAAUAAAAAGGUAAAUUCUAUUAAAGAAAGCACAAGGUUUUUAUUUGAAAUAGUAAUUAUCAUAACAAAAAAUUAAUUUGUGCAUAUUUAAAAAAAAGACCAAAAAAUAAAAUAAAAUAAAAGAUCAAAGCUGUUAUAAAUAAAUAAGAUAUUGUAUUUGUUCUAAAUUAUAUGGUACUUUGGUUAUUUCACACGAACUAAUAAAUAUAAUUAAUUUUAUAUGAAAAUAAAAAAUUAUGGGUUAUUUUACAAAAUUAAUUUUACAGGGAUAUAAAAAAGAUAAAUUAAUAGAAUUUGGAGAAGAGCGAAUAAUAAUUAGUAAAGGAUAGGAUAAGAAAAGAAACCAUAAUGUUUAAUUGAUAUAAGACAUGUAAUUUAUGAUUUUUUUUGGGUGUGCAAAGUGAGAUAUGAUUUAAGAUGGAGUAGUAAUAAUUAAUAGUAUAAUUUUUCUUUAAUUAAAUAAUUAAAAGUGUUGACUCAAUUACCUUGUCCAACACAUGAAUGUUUGGAGCUUUUUUCUCUACUUAAUCUGUUAAACAUGUUUUCUCUCGUGUGAUGGUGUUGGGCAUUUUCUAUAAUCCUUAUGCAUUCAUCAUCUUUAAUAAUCCUUCAACACUGCAGGUUAACCACCGUGAUGUCCAAUUGGAUGAUAGAGAACAUGUUAUUGCAAGGAGAUCUUGUGAUAAUAAGACAUUCAAUAUUAAAUUUGUAUUAUAAUGAUAUUACAAAUUUAAUGUUAACAAAAGUUGCUGCUUGUUAAAAAGUUAUUACCUAGUGAGGCCUGUGGUUUUAUGCAAUCAUCCUCCAUAAAAAAAGGUAUAGCAAAAAGCUAAGAUAAUUUCAUAUCUUGAACUUGAAAAAUUAAUAAUAUUUUGAGCAUUGAUAUAUAUUAUAUAAUCAAUUAUAAAUCACCAUCUUUGGUUUUUUACACGGCUUUUGGUUCUUGUUAAUCAAUUUUCUGCAAAAUUUAAUAUUUACUUCUCCCCUCCCCUCAAAGCUAAAAUUAGUUUGAUCUUGUUUAGGAUGUAUUGGAUAUUUAAUUUUUGUUUUUGAAGAUUCUUUUUGUUGCUUUUACAAAGUUUUUGAAUUUCACCAUCUUUCUAUUCCGGAUGCCAAUAGCUGUAUGGCUGAAAGUUUGUGAAUAAAUUGAACUUCAUUGUUCUUUACUCAACCAUAUUUUCUUCAUAUGAAUAAUUUAUACCUGGUCUGGCCUUGCAGUCGGGUUUGGAGAUUUACAGAACAUAGAACAUUCAUCAUAUUCUCUUGAUGUAUGUGGUUAAUUGGUUAUUUUCCUGAUUUUUGUAUUCUUAACGUGGUGAAUUUGAACAGGUUAUUGACCUCAGUGUGGAUCUUAGUGCCGCCGGUGCCGCAGAAGAGUAAAGAAAGCAGGGUGAUUUCCUUUGUGUUUGUUAUGUUGCUGAUGGAGUCCAUACAUUGGCUUGACGAUGUAUGUUAUUAGUUUAUAAUAAAUUAUAAAAUGAUAUAAAUUGUUUUGUUUUGGAAACAGAGUCUGAAUCUAAUAGAAAAUAUGUUUUGAGGGGAAACAUAACAUUUUCUCAUCCAAAUAAUACUCGAUUGUGUGUACUACAUUUGUUAUAUCAAUGCCCAAAUUUGCAAACGAGACAUGAUAAGUAUUUAUGGGAUCGCUGAAAUUUGAAUUUUUUAGAACGGAUAAAGUAAGAAAAUUAAAUGUCAUUUCAACAAAUUUGUGAUUUGUUAAGUUGUUCACUUUAAAAAAACUAAAUCAAAUAUCACUCUAAAAUCUAUUACAUAUAUAGCCAAUAAUUAAUUAUUAAUAUUAUUCACUUUAUUAUCUAAAACGAUUUGUUCUCAUUAGGGGUAAGAAUAUGUCAGUUCAAACUUUGAAAUGUAUAAGUCUGAUCUACCGUCUAUCAUAAAUUUUAUUUUCGAUCUGGUCUUACCUGAAAGUCUUUUUAAAAACCUAUUUUACAUUAAAACAUUUAAAUAGUAUAUUUUUAAAAAAAAUAGACUAAAUUAAGUCUUUAUAUAUAAAAAAAACUAAUAAACAUAAGAAAAACGAAUAAAAUUAUACCUUUUUAUUCUAUUUAAAUUAAUAAACUUUAAAAAAAUUGAGUCAAAUAUUUUUGUUAAACAAAUCGGAUUAUACACCACUGACAAACAAUCUAACCUAUUCUGUUCUCGUUUAAGAGAAGUUAAAUAGACACAUUAUGACCCAUUUAUCAAGAUGACGAGCACAAAGAUAGUUGUAAUUUUAUUGGAACAAAUUUAUGCAAACGAAAAGAAAGGACUUUUUAGAUUUUGUCUACCUCGUGAAAAUAUUGUUUUUAUCUUUUAAAACAUAUUUUAAUUUGUUAAUAAGAUGCAAUACUCUAAUAUUAAUAGUCAGAGGAAUAUAAAAUGUCAAUUAUAGAUGGUGCCUUUUUCAAAAAAAAUUAAGAAAAUUUUGUGACAUUUCUACAUUUUCAAAAAUAUAGAUAAUUUUCAAAAAUCUAUUACAAAAAAAUUGAUUGCUAACAUAGACCUUAUUUCUAACAAUAAUUUUCAUUUUAAUUUUUCUUGUAUGAAGUGGUUGGGAUUUUGACAAAAAAAAAUAUGUAAUUGAGAUGACAUUAAGUUCUAGAUUUUCAUUUCUUAAUGUUGAUAGAGAAGAUGAAAACUAACUAAAGACAAUGUAUUUACAAAAACAUUUAAAACAACAAUGUUUUAAAUUUUUUCUUCAUAAUUUAAAAAAAAAAAUAUUUAGUGUAUAUUUUGUUUCAUUUUUAAAUGCCUCGAAUUGAUUUUUGAUGCUUAAAAUUGAUUUUGACAUUUUUAAAUUUUCUCAUUUGAUUUUACAUUUAAAAUUAAUUAUGAUAUAAUUAGAAUUUGUAACUUUCGACUCUAAAUAUAAAUUUAAACUACUAUUAUUCAACUUUACGUAGAUGUAUUCAAAAUAUAAUUCACUAUAUUCAGCUCAUUUAUAACUAAAAUUAAUUUUACAAAACCAAUUUUUCCUAUAACAUAAGACACUUGAUGUAUUUUUAAAAUAAAUUUUCAAAAACUUGCACAAAUUUCUUUAAUGUUUAUUUUAUUAGUAAACACGGAAAAACGAAAUUCCUUAAGUAAACAAGCCCCAAAGGAAAGGAAAUUGUUGAUUUUGAAAAUUUAAAAAAAAAAAAGUCUGAUGUCAGUUUCGAAGCCUAGAUUUGUAUUAGAGUCUAUGAUGCUACAGUGGCCUGGGGUAGAUACUGAUCAUUUGCCAAACAUUAAAACGCAUUCUAAUUUGUAAGGCAAAAAAACUAGCAAGUACAGUAUAAUGAAAGUUGUACAACCCCAAAAAGUGUGCCUUCCUUUGCCCGAACGAAGAGAUUAUAAAGGAAAAGAGUAUCCACGCAGAUACCUGGAGUCCACGCCUGAAUCGCGGACCAGUGCUAUGCGUCCGGUUCGUGCCACCUGAAACAAGAAAGAUUAACGAAUACAAAAAGAAAGCAAAUGCAUCCACUGUGACUCUGAAAUACAUGGAACCAGUUGCAACAAAAUAUCUACCAUAUACGUGGGAAAGAUUAAUAAAACAGACCUCACAAAUGCCAUAGGGUUCUAACAAUCUCUGCAAUGCAACCAUCUUGUCCAGAUCUCCAGUAAGCUGACAUAAGAGCAUAUUACUUAGUUCCAGAUACAAUUUAAAAAUAUUAAUGGAUCCAAAGUCAGUAAUUUAAUAAUUUCAUUUAUAUUUGCAUCAGAAGUUCGGCAUAACUGGAUUCUUGACAUAUAUCUACAUAUUGUUCACCUCAAGGGUUAUUGUAUGAUCGGACACGUCAACAGCUCUAGCCCUGAAAAUGCUGGCAAUAUCAAGGACAUCACGUCGUGCAGCAGCAUUUACAGCAAUCUUUAUUAGCAUCAAUUCUCUCUCAGCAAAUGGCACGUGGGUUAUAUCACGGACCUGGAAAAAUAUCAGUUUAGAUGCACAAGUAUAAAAUGGCCAGUUUUUUUUUAAUAUAUAUGUAUAUAAAAAUGAUCAAAUAUUAUUGUACUAUAUGUAUGAACAAGAUUCUUAAUAUAAAGUGCAACAGCAAGAUAAAAUGUAUUCUUCAAGUAAGAUAUUUAAUAGCUGUUUGGGUUGACUUUCCUGAAUAAGAUUAAUAGUCAGAGGACUCUCAAAAACUAGUCAGGUUUCAUUAAUAAUAGGGUACAAGAUAAAUUUCAAAUUUCUCUUAUUAAAAAGUACGUUCAAAUAUUUAACUGUGACUAAUCAAUUUUGUUACCAUGGGUUGUUAAAUCCUAAUAAAGGUUUCCGGGUUCCAAAACACAUUUCCUGUUGUGGCCAGGUGGAUAAACAGAGAAAAAACAAAGAAUUUAAUGUGGUUUGACCUAGACCUAUGUCCAUAGGCAUCAACAAAGGGAAAAGACACAAUCAAUAGAGAUUACAAGGAUUAGCCAUUCCACACUCAAAUCCUAAACCCAACACCUAAAUCCUCACAGCCACUUAGUGUUAGAACUUAACAACAUAAUAGGAUCAUGCCAAGGGAAUGGUAGUAUCAGCAACAAGCCCAGUUCCCGUUCCUCCUCCUGUUUCCCCACAAAUCUCCUUAUAAAAGCUUAGUUGGAUCAGAUUCGUACACUUCUCUGCUUGAGUCACAUGUGGUCGGGCUGAGCCCCCUAUGUACACUUUUGUGCCCACUAUUACAAUGGUGGAGACCGACAUUUAAAAUGCUAGAGAACUCUGCAACCAGUUGUACUAAAAAAUUAUAAAGCUAACAGUUUAUUUAUGGCAUGAUGCAUGUUUUGGGUAGAGAUAUUAAACCUCAUGCAGCUCCACUAACUUAUAGAGCUGCUGCACCAACUUGCUGAUUGACUCAUCUGUACCAGGAACCACAGUUGUAAGCCGAGAAACUCCUUCAACUUCUGAAUGUCCUACAGCUAAACUCUGGAAAGAGAGCACAUUCAAGCAAAUGAAUGAACAGAGAAAUUAAAAUGGUCAGACAUGUCUGUAUGCAAUUUUACACAAACAUCAAAGUGAAAACAACACUGAAGAAGAAAACCUGAAUGUUAUAGCCCCUUCUAGCAAAGACCCCUGUGACACAGUUCAGAACUCCGGGAGCAUCGUUCACGAGCAUGGAUAAAGUGUGUGAUCGAAUUCCGCUUGUCUGAAGGUAUGAUCCCAACGAUCAGAAAAUUACAUGCAAAUCCAAGAAAAUUAUAUGGUAGUGUACGAGCACCAGCUACAUUUUUGGCUCUUUAAAAGCAAAAAAUACAAAAUCGUGAUUUUCAGAAAAUCAAAACCAUGUUAGCUCAACUUAAAUAAAUUUCAGUACAAGAAAAUAAUCACAAAUUGCAGUGCUACUCUAACAAUGAGAAGAAAUUUCACGAAGCAAAACCUUGUAUGUGAAAAACAAAAGCUUCAGCAGUCAAAGACUUUUAAGUUUUACCAAUAAAAACUUAUAAAUGUGUUGAACACGCUCUACUUAUUGAAAGUAGUGCGAAUAUCCAAAAUAAUGUUUACUUCACUUGACACAAUUUCACAAAAAAGAUUUAAUGUUUGGUUACUGUUAGGAUCCUUUCUUUGAUCAACUUGAUCAAGAAAGGAUAACCCUCCAUAUAUUCUAUAUCCUAACAACUGCUUUGAGCCAAAAUUGACUUUUUUUCUAAACCCUCCAUUUGAGUAAAGGUGAUGGCCUAAACACACUUAAACUCUCCAUCUGAGUAAAAAUUGACUUUGAGCCAAACUCACUUUUAAUCAAUGUUCAAAUGCUCAGCCAAACACACACUUAAAAGAAUAACCCUCCUAAGCUAUGAGAAGUUCAACCAGAUAGAGAAAAGAAAUAGAAUGAACCAGCUGGCAUUUCUAAAUCUCUCAGAAGGGCAUCAGAUGCAGGAUCUUAUCCUCCCAUUAGAAUACAAGAUAUGGAACCUUCAUCCUUGGAUAAGACAUGUUCCACAUGUCUUCAGCUAAUUAAUCUUAUUUUAAGUAUUUUUUAUUUUUAAUGGCUAGAAAUAUUACGAAGUGUUUGGAAACUGAAGCUAACAACUUCACGUCAAAAUGACAAACUAUGAGCAUAGUGCACAAGGCUCCUGUCAUGGUAAAUAAUAACUAUACAACUUGACAAUAAAAUUCAAAUGCAAAACAAACAAAAAAUCAAAUAGAAAUGUAAUUUCUGUUUAAUAAAAAAAACUCUACACUCUAAAGGGGAACAUCAAGUAAAAGAACACUAUCAAGAACCUGCAAAUAAGGAUUAUAAUGCAUUAAAAGAAAACAUAAAAGGGAGACAGCUAAGGACAAUGAAGUACUAUAAACCAUCUUACAUCCUCCUCGUUGAGAACACCCCAGUGAGCAUCGAGUACUUGAUUGACUGUAAAACUGUCUGAAGGCUCUAUAGGAUAAACAUCCCCCUUCACACAAGCAAACAUGUCAAAAGAAAAGAGAAGGUCAGAGACUAGAUCGGAAUUUACUGAUGACCAAAUAAAUCAAGUACAUAAGGGACAAAUAACAUUGAACAUGUCGAUAGUGGAAUGCAUUGAAGUCACUGUUAGCAUCAUUCUGUGCAGUAGUUAAAAAUGUAUUCCUCUUUAGUUGGUCAUUGAAAUUUUAUAAAAUAAAAUAAAAAAGAACAGUUGAUGUUAAGCAAAGACAACAAAGAUUCAACAUAAUAUAAAUUGAUACCCUAGUAACCUAGAAAACAUCACUGAAUUUCUACCAAAGACAAGUGGCAAGAAUCAAUAUUGCUUUGAAAUCUGGUACCAAAGGGAAGUUAGAGAGAGGGAGAGAAUGAAAAGCAAUAUAUAAAUAAAGAACAGAGUUAAAAACCACAUACAACCCACAGUCAAUAUGAGUGCUCUGAAGGGUUCUUAGAAAAACAACUGUUGAAAGGCUGCACAGCCAGCACAAGUGCGUGCUAGAAAUCACAACUCAGCUUAAAAUGGCAAUUAGCAGAAUACCAAAGGGAAUACAUAAACAUAGUCCUAUUCCAUUACAAGCUUAAGGAAAAAAUAACAUACAAAGGCAAGACUAGUGUUACUCAGAUGCACAAAAGAAUUGCAUAAACUGAAAACUACCAUAAAUCUCCAGCCUUUGUAUGUUUGACAAAACCUUUCAAACAAAUUAUUAAAAACUGUUCCAAAUUGGGAGGGAUAAAGGAUGGUCAAUUAUAAAGAUCAAUAGCUGAAAUGUCACAAAGUUGAAACUAAGCUCACUUGUGAUUUUUAAAUCUAACAUUUUUUAUAGAUUUGUCAAUUUUUUUAUUUUUAAGUCAAUAUAUAUUUCAAAUUUGAAGUUGAAGCGUUUGAAAAUACAGGUGAAAAUAAAGGAUGAUCGACUACAGAGAUCACGAAAGUUGAAACAAAGCUCACUUGUGAUUUUUAAAUCUAACAUUUUUGAUAGAUUUGUCAAUAUAUUUCAAAUUUGAAGUUGAAGUGUUUGAAAAUACAGGUGAAAAUAAAGGAUGAUCGACUACAGAGAUCACGAAAGUUGAAACAAAGCUCACUUGUGAUUUUUAAAUCUAACAUUUUUGAUAGAUUUGUCAAUAUAUUUCAAAUUUGAAGUUGAAGUGUUUGAAAAUACAGGUGAAAAUAAAGGAUGACCGACUACAGAGAUCACGAAAGUUGAAACAAAGCUCACUUGUGAUUUUUAAAUCUAACAUUUUUGAUAGAUUUGUCAAUAUAUUUCAAAUUUGAAGUUGAAGUGUUUGAAAAUACAGGUGAAAAUAAAGGAUGACCGACUACAGAGAUCACGAAAGUUGAAACAAAGCUCACUUGUGAUUUUUAAAUCUAACAUUUUUGAUAGAUUUGUCAAUAUAUUUCAAAUAACUCACCUGAAAUUACCACGUGAUUGUAUCACCAAAUCGUAAAAUGGUAAUGGUGAUGACUGGAUAAUUGUAAGAUGGAAAGGAAAAUAUGAAACAAAACACAUGAGCAAACAUGCUUGAAUAUAUAUACCCAACUCAUAUCAGCACAUUUUUUUAUUCUCGAUGUUAUUUAAAGACUGAUAGGAAAUCGAAAUUCAGAAGCAAAAAUAAAGUAAGGAAAUAGAUCAACUAAUAUAAUAUUGAAUGUAUUUAAUUGAUGAUGAAAGAAAAACUGUAGACGAGAAGAAUCCCAAUCUACCCCAGAGCCAAGCUCCUCAGAGAAGGAGAAAUUUUUUCUCUGCCUAACCAUAAUGGUUCACUCAAAUGUGCUUGUGUACCCAUCCCAAUUCACUCCACUAUUUAUACUACUAAGACAUACGUCGUCUAAGAAGUCUACCCCACAUUUUAUUUACCAAAUAUCCUUACCACACUCUUUAUUACAUUAUACCCCUUUUUCAUUAUCAGCCUCACUUGGGUCUCUAUCAAAGACAGACAAAAUCUGAUUCAUGAAAAUAAUAAAAGACAACAAAUCAAGAACAAAAGAAUAACAUAAAAACAGCCAGUCCAGCAAGAAUACAGUCAUGUUCCUACCUUAGUAUCCUAACGAUACUUUUUAUCUAUGCGAUGAAAGGAUGACUAUAUUAACACAUAUAGUAUAUUCCCAAGAUGAGUCAUUCACAAUGCAAUUUAUGCCUCCAAUAAUCAAUAAUUACUUUAACAAACAAACAGUGAUAAUUUUCCCCUUUUACAAAUGACACUCAAUUGAUUGUGAGGCCCACAGCCAAUUAACAAUCAUAACCACAGAAGUAAAGACUCUGCCGCUAGAUACCAGAACUUUGAUGGUGCCAACUUAAUGACUUUGGAUCAUGUUCACAUAUAUACCUAGACUAAAUGUGUUAUUAGAACACAAACACAUUUACAUUGCAGAAAUAAAAUUUUAUACAAAUACUAGGAUCUCAGAGCAAACAUUCGCAACAUUCUAUAGCCACACAUAACUUAAUGUCAUAAACUAAAAGAGAAAUCAACAGAAUGAAAUAAGUUUUGGCAAAACAAACAGCCAACAGGCAAAAAAGAUUGAUGAUAGUUCAACUCAUGGAAGCAGUUACAUGAAAAUGCAUAUAGAGCAUACCUUUCAGUUACAAUUAAUUUUAUAGGUUGCAUAAUUUAUAGGAAUGAAAAAGAUGCACCAAAACAUGAUAACUAACAACUACAAAAAAAUUCAAGUAUGACCUCAAUUGUCACGGAAUUUUCUGAGAUGUCCACAAUCUUGCCUCUGAAGGUGUCCACCAACCACUUAAUCUGUAAACUCCCAGCCAAAAGAAAAAGAAAAUAAAUUAAUAAAUAAAUAAAGAGAAGCAAACAAUGAAAUGAACCACACGCCCAAAUCCCAACACCCAAAAAUUACUAAGCAGGUACCUCAGCACGGUUUUGGGGAUCUGCAUGCACCUUUAAGAGCAUCAAUUCACGUUCUACCUGUGGUUCAUUUGAAAGAUCUUCUACCUAGUCCAAAAAUCAAACUCUUCAAUAUUUUCAGCAUUAAACUUUUAUUUAUUCUACAUAAAAUAAGCACAUGCAAAAACGAAAAAGCAAGACAAAAAUAUACAACAGAAUCUCACAUAAACACAGAGAAAGAGAGAAGUAUAAGAGUGAAACCUUCAAAACAUUGACAAGCUUCUGAAGCUGCUCAACAACUUGUUGUAAAACCCUAUUGGUUCCAGAAACAACAAUUGAGAAAAGAGCCCUAUCUUGAUUAAGACCAACAGCUAGUGACUCAAUGUUGUAUCCUCUUCUCGCGAACACUCCAGCAAUCCGAUUAAUCAUUCCACUCUCAUCGCCAACGAACACCGAAAUAGUAUGUCUCCGAACCCUACAUUAUCAUUCACCGUACCUUAUAAUAAUCAUAAUUAAUUAACUAAUCACAAAUCAGAAUAUUAACUAACUCGCUACUAGUUGUAAUUAUUUUAUUACAUUAGUAAUGGAAUUGAACAGAAAGUGAUAAGAAUACUUGCUUUGAUCGAGAAGGGGAAGUGACGGGACCGUUGGAGGAAACGGUUGUGUCAGCAGAAGUUGCGGCGGAGAGGGUGAGUUUGUUGCGGCGGGGAGUGGAUGUUGUUGGGAAGAAGAGAGUGGUUGAAUUUAGUUGAAGUGAAAAUGGAGAAAGAGAGUGAGAAUGGGAGAAUUUGAAGGUAUGAAUUGGAGUUAGUGUGGCGGCCAUAGCGAGAAAUGCAGAGAAGCAAAUUGAAAUGAAAUAUCAGUGAGUGGGGACGGAAGUUUUUAGUGUAUUUUUCAGUGGCUUGUUGGCAUCUACAUUUUUUACCUCUUCUAUUGCUUUUUAG